UUUGGUGGAGUUUUAGGGCUGUAGGUGAAAGUUUUGGAUCUGUGGUAUAUGAUAGCAAAGGUUUGAUAAAAAUCGGUGGAAGUUGCAGCAAGUAUGUGCUGUCUUGUAAGAGUAGAAUUGUCGUCGAAGAAACAACGGUUUCUCGACGUAAUUUCCACCAAAGACUUGAGAGAAUUGAUGAGGGAAUUGAUAGCAAAAUCACAGUUUAUAUGACAGCAAGAAUAUCUAAUUUAAUCAAGAAAAUUUUGGCAGUAUAACAGCAAGGAAAUUGGUGCAAGUUGCGAUUGUAGAAUUCUCGUCAAAAAAUUUCAACGGGUUAUAACGAAAAUUUGUAGCAACACAAAAUCGUUUUUAGAGAUGAAUUUCUUAAUAGAUCAAUCUUAGAUGGAAGCCAAGAUGAUCUAUGAAGUGUAUAAGAAAUUUCAUUCAAAAAAGAUUGCAAAUAGAUAGGCUAAGGCAACAAUAUGCGCUUGAAAUUUUCUGCAGCACAGAUUUUUAAGUAUAGCAGAUUGGAC
rnacentral:lncRNA from 1 species